UGGGGAAUCUUCCGCAAUGGACGAAAGUCUGACGGAGCAACGCCGCGUGUAUGACGAAGGCCUUCGGGUUGUAAAGUACUGUCUUUGGGGACGAACGGUAUCUAUGUAAAUAAUGCAGAUACAUGACGGUACCCAAGGAGGAAGCCCCGGCUAACUACGUGCCAGCAGCCGCGGUAAUACGUAGGGGGCGAGCGUUGGUCCGGAAUCAUUGGGCGUAAAGGGCGCGUAGGCGGGUCAUUAAGUCUGGUGUGAAAGGCAGGGGCUCAACCCCUGGAAGGCACCGGAAACUGGUUAUCUUGAGGACAGGAGAGGAAAGCGGAAUUCCACGUGUAGCGGUGAAAUGCGUAGAUAUGUGGAGGAACACCAGUGGCGAAGGCGGCUUUCUGGACUGUAACUGACGCUGAGGCGCGAAAGCGUGGGGAGCAAACAGGAUUAGAUACCCUGGUAGUCCACGCCGUAAACGAUGAGUGCUAGGUGU
rnacentral:rRNA from 1 species